GCUGACGAAGUUUAUUGCGUUCAGGGACAGCAGUGGCCAUGGGUAAUCUUUAUUGUCAGAAGGACGCUAUGCAACUGCAAGCAACGUAUUCCCGUUCUAUCAACCGAUACACGAGCUACUCAUCCGAACUGGGUUGGGCUAGUAUCCACUCUACCACAGCCAGCGAUUCUGUAACGUCCUGACGGGCGUAUUCGUUCCUGAAGAAGAAAGCACCCGGGUCUCACCAGGACUCCAGGGAGCCGCGCUGAAACGUGGGUGCUUUUCGAGAAGCGACUCGCACGGCAUUUGUAUACGAGUCUCAAGGAUAAUCCCAACGUGGGCGUUGCUGAGUUCCCUGUGCGCCUUGAGAAAACGACACGACGGAUGGUGCGUGUUAUUAUUCGACAUUGCUGCAUUGCCGUCUCGCUGCGUUGCUGCUCUCGGCAUUUUACACUGAGCUGCUGCUGUAAGACACCGAGCCAUCUGGUUACGAAUAGACAGGCGGCCAGUAGAAGCAAGACGGUUGAAGCCUGAAAGGAAAGAAGAUGCUGUAACAAAAAAGAAGAACAUUACGCGAGAUCGCUCAAAUCGUCUGCAUUCUUCUGGCAAGAUCAGAGUAAAAGAUCUGAGAAGCAGAGACCGAUGCUGAAGAAAUUUCAGUCCCGGUAUCUCUUACUUAUACAUAACAGGAACAGCCAUUUUUAUGACUUCUAAUUACUAUUGCAGUGCAACCAGUACAACCAGUACCAGCUAAUGAAUUAGGGAUGUAGAAUUUGUAGAAUACCUUAGGCAAUAGCAUAAAGAAAUGAUUAUACAUUUUUCUAUUAAUAUACAUUUCCAAGUAACUGUAAUUAUUUAUAUCAAUGAUAAAAAAGCGUUAUAAAAUUCUAA